rnacentral:rRNA from 1 species
AGAGUUUGAUCCUGGCUCAGGACGAACGCUGGCGGCGUGCUUAACACAUGCAAGUCGAGCGGUAAGGCCCUUCGGGGUACACGAGCGGCGAACGGGUGAGUAACACGUGGGUAACCUGCCCUGUACUCUGGGAUAAGCCUUGGAAACGAGGUCUAAUACCGGAUACGACCCUUGAAGGCAUCUUUGAGGGUGGAAAGUUCCGGCGGUAUGGGAUGGACCCGCGGCCUAUCAGCUUGUUGGUGGGGUAAUGGCCUACCAAGGCGACGACGGGUAGCCGGCCUGAGAGGGUGACCGGCCACACUGGGACUGAGACACGGCCCAGACUCCUACGGGAGGCAGCAGUGGGGAAUAUUGCACAAUGGGCGAAAGCCUGAUGCAGCGACGCCGCGUGAGGGAUGACGGCCUUCGGGUUGUAAACCUCUUUCAGCAGGGACGAAGCGCAAGUGACGGUACCUGCAGAAGAAGCACCGGCUAACUACGUGCCAGCAGCCGCGGUAAUACGUAGGGUGCGAGCGUUGUCCGGAAUUAUUGGGCGUAAAGAGCUCGUAGGCGGUUUGUCGCGUCGGCCGUGAAAACUUGGGGCUUAACCCCGAGCCUGCGGUCGAUACGGGCAGACUUGAGUUCGGCAGGGGAGACUGGAAUUCCUGGUGUAGCGGUGAAAUGCGCAGAUAUCAGGAGGAACACCGGUGGCGAAGGCGGGUCUCUGGGCCGAUACUGACGCUGAGGAGCGAAAGCGUGGGGAGCGAACAGGAUUAGAUACCCUGGUAGUCCACGCCGUAAACGGUGGGUGCUAGGUGUGGGGGACUUCC